rnacentral:lncRNA from 1 species
GGGGAAAUUUCUCUUCAAAGGUUAGGUGGUGCCAAUCACAUUAAUUGUGAAACCCAAUAACGAUCCUUUGAAGAAGUCACGAAUAAUGCGAGUGGGAUGCAAAUGAAUGGAAUGCAUGUAUGCAAUGUGAAGGUAUGUGAAGUGAGAAAAAUAAUAAAAAUAAUAGGAUGUAAGUGGAGGUGUGCAAAUGUAUUUACAAGUGUUUGUGUGCAAGCGAAGGGAUAAAAAGGUGCAUGUGUGCAAAUGACAAAAGUGAAAGUGUGCAAGUGAAGGGAUAAAAGGUGUACGUGUGCAAAUGGGAGGAAAAGUGAAAGUGUAAUGAUGGAGUGGAUUUAGAAUGCAUGGGUCUAGGGAAUGCAUGCAUAUUGGGUACGGGGAGACCUAAAUCGUGACUCAAUUUACCCUUUUGUAGAGGGAAUACAAGCGUGCUAAGGCUUAGAAAAAGCCACACUCGUCUAUAUCCCAUAUUUAAGGGGACUCUCAAUCAAAUGAACCCUAUAGCUAGCAUUAAAUGCAAAAAUCCUAAAAUGGAGGGAAAAGGGGUUCGAGGGGCAUGCAAAAUGAUAAAACUAAAAAAAAUGCAUGACAUGUAAUGAUCAUGCAAAUAUGUGCUAACGAGGGGAAAUCCCUAAGGGUCUAGCGUUGGACUAGCCCAUUCUAUGAAUUCCGACUAGCGUUGGACUAGUGGAAACGUACAUUCAUCCAUCACAUUCAUUCAAGGAUAUGGAAAGCGAGUAGACAUGUCAAUCACAUAGCACAUAACACUUAGCAUGCAUAUCUAAAUGCCAAAACCUAAGAAAACGAUUAAACAUAUAGCACAUAGACAUGCAAGACACAUA